rnacentral:lncRNA from 1 species
GACACCAUCCCUCGCUCACGGGAUCAUCCGUGGAGCGCAGGGACACACGCUCCCAGGACUCCCCCCCGGCGCUUAGAACAGCACCAAAACCGCCAGCAGAGUCAUGGUGCCCCACCAGAUGCGCUGCCAAACCUGACGAGGAUGUCUCUCGUGAGCAGGAGGAGGAAUGGACGCUCCUGAAGAACCCCUCAGGCUUUGCUGCCUGCACAGAGGAUCUGCGUGAAAACAUGAGGGGAGUACACCAUGAAGCUGCUCUAUUUCCAGAUGUGUCCUCUCCAAGGAGACACACAUCGCAGACACUCAACCUCAGGAAAUUGCCUUGCAUCUAGAAGGGGAAAAAAGCCCCACCAACUUGCCACCUCCAUAAAUCAGCCAUCUGCAGAAUGUAAACUGGUGCAGCGUGGCUCUAUCAGCACUUACAGCUCCAAGUGCUUUGCAGAAGUUUACACAACGUGAACUAUUCCGUCUUUCCUAAAAGAAAUCUCGUGCUAUAAAUUACCAAACUUUUCAGGAAACACGACAAAAACCCACCGUCGGUGCUGACCUCUGGGACUCAGCUGUAGAGCUCGUGAAAAGGAGAAGUUUCCCUGGGGAUGAAAGGAGAUGGAGAGCUGAGUUUGUCUGUGGGUGUCUGGGGAAGAAGGUCACCCGCGGCACAUCGUGAUGCCGCUGCAACGCGAGAAGGUGUUUUGGGAAGGGGUUGACAGAUGAUGGGGGGAAAUGAGGAGGAGACCAACGCACUCCUCUCCUUCCUGGCCUUCACAGGCUCCAAGGACAUAACCCAGAAUCAGCCUGAGAGAGCAGCAGAACUCCUGCUGAACCCAACAGGGCAAGGAAAGAUAUUACACUGUUUGUAAGGCUUCAUUAACCACUGUGUUUUCAGCUCUGUGGUACUGGCUGCAGGAGCAGGGGCUCCUUUCCAAGUGCUGCAACAAUUUUUGCCUAUGUUGUCCCAUUCUCAGAUUUCUCUUAACUCAUGGACAUAGAUAAUACUGCUGCUGAACCAACCUGUGGCCAAGAAUGCCCCACAACACUGUGCUUCUCUCAGCUUCAUCAAAGUUUGUACAGAGGAUCCACCAGGAGCAAAAACCUCUACCUCAUGAUGUGGACCAGCAAAGCCCCCACUAAUUCUCGAAAAUUUGGAAGACAAACAAGAGGGGAGGCAAAUGGGGAAUGACUUCCCACUGCCAGAGGAUAGAUACGAUAUUGGGAAGAAGAUAUUGCUUCCUGUGAGGGUGGGCAGGCCCUGGCACAGGGUGCCCAGAGCAGUUGUUGCUGCCUCAUCCCUGGAAGUGUCCCAGGCCAGGUUGGGAAGGGCUUGGAGCAACCUGGGACAGUGGAAGGUGUCCCUGCUCAUGGCACGGGGUGAAACUGGAUGAGCUUGAAGUUCCCUUCCAACACAAACCAUCCUGGGAUUCUGUAAUCUGUGAUGCUUUGAACAAUUAUAUUAAUACUG